rfam:Gossypium arboreum cultivar AKA8401 contig_26292_3, whole genome shotgun sequence.
UGAUAAAAAUUUCAUCUAUUUCUACUAUUAAAAACUGGUCCCUAUUCAUAAACAUGAGGUACACAUGGCAAGCCAUAUGUAAUUAUCUAAUUAUUCCGUUGGCACACCAGUUUUUAAUAGUAAAAAUGAAUGAAAACUUUAAUUA